UAUGCCAUCAAAAAACGACUCCUGGAGUCUAUGAUCGGAGCAAUAUUUUUGGUAAAAAACUUAUUCGAACCAUAAAAAAAAAUAUCACCUAUCCACGCUCAGAAUCUAAAAAAAGCCAUUUUUAAGUGAGAACUUUUAUGGUACAAAUUUUACGCUAUUUUAUUAUCCCUAAAUUGAAUAUAGGCGAUACGAACCGUCCAUUUAUAAUCGGUUACCGAAACAUAAUCGUCCAAGAUGUUUUGU